CCUACGGGGGACUGCAGUGAGGGAUAUUGCACAAUGGGGGAGACCCUGAUGCAGCGACGCCGCGUGGGCGAAGAAGUAUUUCGGUAUGUAAAGCCCUAUCAGCAGGGAAGAAGAAAUGACGGUACCUGCGUAAGAGGCACCGGCUAAAUACGUGCCAGCAGCCGCGGUAAUACGUAUGGUGCCGGCGUUAUCCGGAUUUACUGGGUGUAAAGGGAGCGCAGGGGGCACGGCAAGCCUGAUGUGAAAGCCCGGGGCGCAACCGCGGGACUGCAUUGGGAACUACCGGGCUGGAGUGCCGGAGAGGUAGGCGGAAUUCGUAGUGUAGCGGUGAAAUGCGUAGAUAUUAGGAGGAACACCAGUGGCGAAGGCGGCCUACUGGACGGUGACUGACGCUGAGGCUCGAAAGCGUGGAGAGCAAACAGGAUUAGAUACCCUUGUAGUC
rnacentral:rRNA from 1 species